rnacentral:miRNA from 1 species
UUUAAGUAUACGAUGAACUGC